rnacentral:rRNA from 1 species
AUGAGUUUGAUCCUGGCUCAGAAUAAACGCUAGUAAUAUGCUUUACACAUGCAAGUCUAACAAAAAAAUGCAUUUUUUGUGGCGUACGGGUGAGUAACACAUAAACAUCUUUUCUUUUAAUUAUUGAUAAAAUAUCAAAACUUAAAUAUUUUAUUUUAAGUUUUUUAAAAAUAUUAAUCAAAAAAUUAUACAUUUGUUAAGAGGUAGGUUUUUGUAGGAUUAGGUAUUUGAUAAUUGUAAUUUUUAUCAAGCCUGCGAUCCUUAGUUGAUCUUAGAGGAUGAUCAACCACACUGGAACUGAAACAAAGUCCAGGCUUUUUGCCAGCAGUGAGGAAUAUUGGACAAUGAACGAAAGUUUGAUCCAGCAAUAUUACGUGAAUUAAGAAUAUAUUAAAAAUAUCUUAUCAUUUUUUUGAUAGAUUAUAUUUAAUACAAAGAUGACGGUUAAUUUUGACUGUAAAAUUCAAUUUUUAAAACAGAUAAUGACAUAAAUUAAAUUAUAAAGUCCCGGCUAAUCUCGUGCCAGCAGCCGCGGUAAUACGGGAGGGGCAAGCGUUAUUCGAAAUAAUUGGGCGUAAAGUGUUCGUAGGCUGUAAUGUUUAUUAUUUAUGAAAUUUUAAAACUUAAUUUUUUAAACAUAUUUAACACAAUAUUACUAGAGUUUACAAUAAAAAAGUAGAAUUCCGCAAGUAAGAGUGGUAUCUAAAAAUAUGCAGGAGGAAUAUCUAAAGCGAAAGCAACUUUUUGGGGUAAACUGACGUUGAGGGACGAAAGCAUAGGUAGCAAAUAGGAUUAGGUACCCUAGUAGUCUAUGCCGUAAACGAUGAGUGCUCGAAUUUAAAAAUUUUUAGAUUCCUAGUUAACACGUUAAGCAUUCCGCCUGAGAAGUACGAUCGCAAGAUUGAAACUCAAAGGAAUUGACGGGGGCCAAUACAAGUGGUGGAGCAUGUGGUUUAAUGCGAUGAUCCGCGCAUAACCUUACCAGUUUUUGACAUAAUUAAAAAAAUAAAACUUUUAAAUUAAUUUUAUUUUAUAAGACAGGUGUUGCACGACUGUCGAAAGCUCGUGUCGUGAGAUUUUUGGUUAAGUCCUUUAACGGGCGAAACUCUCGUUUUUAAAAAAGAUGUUUUAGUAAUUAAGAUUUCGAUAAUUUUUUUAUUAUUGGAAAAAUAAAAAUUUUAAAAAUAUUGCCUAUGAUAAAUAGGAUGAAAGUGAGAAAUACGUCAAGUCAAUGUGGCCUUUAUAAACUGGGCUACGCAUGUGCUACAAAGAAAACUACAGAAAGAAACAAUAAUUUUGAAAUUGGAGUUAAUCUUUAAAAGUUUUUAUAGUUCGGAUUACAGACUGAAACUCGUCUGUAUGAAGUUGGAAUCACUAGUAAUCGCAAAUCAUCACAUUGCGGUGAAUAUGUACCUUGGCCUUGUACACACCGCCCGUCACAUGUAGGAAGUUAAUUUUAUUUAAAGUUUUUUUUUAAUAUUUUGCUUUUAAAAACAUUAAUUUUAAAAAAUAUACGUUAAAAAAUUAUCAUUAGAAGAUUAACAACUUUUAUGAAGUCGUAACAUGGUAGCUGUAAGGGAACUUGCAGCUGGAAAAACUUUU